rnacentral:rRNA from 1 species
GACGAACGCUGGCGGCGUGCUUAACACAUGCAAGUCGAACGGAAAGGCCCUGCUUUUGUGGGGUGCUCGAGUGGCGAACGGGUGAGUAACACGUGAGUAACCUGCCCUUGACUUUGGGAUAACUUCAGGAAACUGGGGCUAAUACCGGAUAGGAGCUCCUGCUGCAUGGUGGGGGUUGGAAAGUUUCGGCGGUUGGGGAUGGACUCGCGGCUUAUCAGCUUGUUGGUGGGGUAGUGGCUUACCAAGGCUUUGACGGGUAGCCGGCCUGAGAGGGUGACCGGCCACAUUGGGACUGAGGGACGGCCCAGACUCCUACGGUAGGCAGCAGUGGGGAAUAUUGCACAAUGGGCGGAAGCCUGAUGCAGCAACGCCGCGUGCGGGAUGACGGCCUUCGGGUUGUAAACCGCUUUCGCCUGUGACGAAGCGUGAGUGACGGUAAUGGGUAAAGAAGCACCGGCUAACUACGUG